CCAAGGCGACGACGGGGGGCCGGCCUGAGAGGGCGACCGGCCACACUGGGACUGAGACACGCCCAGACUCCUACGGGAGGCAGCAGUGGGGAAUAUUGCACAAUGGGCGAAAGCCUGAUGCAGCGACGCCGCGUGAGGGAUGACGGCCUUCGGGUUGUAAACCUCUUUCAGCAGGGAAGAAGCGCAAGUGACGGUACCUGCAGAAGAAGCGCCGGCUAACUACGUGCCAGCAGCCGCGGUAAUACGUAGGGCGCGAGCGUUGUCCGGAAUUAUUGGGCGUAAAGAGCUCGUAGGCGGCCUGUCGCGUCGGUUGUGAAAGCCCGGGGCUCAACCCCGGGUCUGCAGUCGAUACGGGCAGGCUAGAGUUCGGUAGGGGAGAUCGGAAUUCCUGGUGUAGCGGUGAAAUGCGCAGAUAUCAGGAGGAACACCGGUGGCGAAGGCGGAUCUCUGGGCCGACACUGACGCUGAGGAGCGAAAGCGUGGGGAGCGAACAGGAUUAGAUACCCUGGUAGUCCACGCCGUAAACGGUGGGCACUAGGUGUGGGCGACAUUCCACGUCGUCCGUGCCGCAGCUAACGCAUUAAGUGCCCCGCCUGGGGAGUACGGCCGCAAGGCUAAAACUCAAAGGAAUUGACGGGGGCCCGCACAAGCGGCGGAGCAUGUGGCUUAAUUCGACGCAACGCGAAGAACCUUACCAAGGCUUGACAUACACCGGAAAACCGUGGAGACACGGUCCCCCUUGUGGCCGGUGUACAGGUGGUGCAUGGCUGUCGUCAGCUCGUGUCGUGAGAUGUUGGGUUAAGUCCCGCAACGAGCGCAACCCUUGUCCCGUGUUGCCAGCAGGCCCCUUCGGGGGUGCUGGGGACUCACGGGAGACCGCCGGGGUCAACUCGGAGGAAGGUGGGGACGACGUCAAGUCAUCAUGCCCCUUAUGUCUUGGGCUGCACACGUGCUACAAUGGCCGGUACAAUGAGCUGCGAUACCGCGAGGUGGAGCGAAUCUCAAAAAGCCGGUCUCAGUUCGGAUUGGGGUCUGCAACUCGACCCCAUGAAAUCGGAGUCGCUAGUUCUUCGCAAAUCAAGCUGGCUGCUGUG
rnacentral:rRNA from 1 species